rnacentral:tRNA from 1 species
CAUUAUGAAGCUAAAUUAGCAUUAACCUUUUAAGUUAAAGAUUAGGAACUUAAAUUCCUCAUAAUGAG